UGAGGAAUAUUGGUCAAUGGGCGAGAGCCUGAACCAGCCAAGUAGCGUGCAGGAUGACGGCCCUAUGGGUUGUAAACUGCUUUUAUGUGGGGAUAAAGUGCGUGACGUGUCAUGCAUUGCAGGUACCACAUGAAUAAGGACCGGCUAAUUCCGUGCCAGCAGCCGCGGUAAUACGGAAGGUCCGGGCGUUAUCCGGAUUUAUUGGGUUUAAAGGGAGCGUAGGCUGUCUAUUAAGCGUGUUGUGAAAUUUACCGGCUCAACCGGUGGCUUGCAGCGCGAACUGGUCGACUUGAGUAUGCAGGAAGUAGGCGGAAUUCAUGGUGUAGCGGUGAAAUGCUUUGAUAUCAUGACGAACUCCGAUUGCGCAGGCAGCUUACUGUAGCAUAACUGACGCUGAUGCUCGAAAGUGCGGGUAUCAAACAGG
rnacentral:rRNA from 1 species